GCCACCGUAGCUCAACUGGUAGAGCGCUAGAUUUGUAAUCUUGAGGUUGCGGGUUCGAGUCCCACCGGUGGCU
rnacentral:tRNA from 1 species